AGGGCAGUGUAACCAGUAAAGGAUUUUUUAGGCAGGAAACUGGGAAAGGAAAUAACAUUUUAAAUGAAAAUAUAGAAACAUCCAGUUAAAAAAAGCAAUAAAAUUUGCUAAAAAAUGAAAGAUAUAAAAUAAAAGUAAACUGCCAACUAAGUAUACCUAUUCACUUGGAAAUCUACAAUGAUAGUCAGAGUAAUACAAGUGGUAAGACUAAGAUGAUGAUAUCUGAACUAGAGCACUUCUCUCUCCCAGAUAGAAGUAUCAGACAGAAACUGCACUAUAGGUAUCCAAAACAUUGAAGAGUUUACUCUGAGCUGAGGACAUAAUGCUUGUCCAUCCCAUCUUCCUUAGUAACUUUCUCUUUUUGACAAAAAGUAUAAAGUCCAUAACCUGUCAGGGAUACAACUGUGCCAUUCACAACACUUGGCUUUGGAAUAAAGAAAUGAAUGAUAUAAACUCUCUGACUUCCAGAAAGCAAAAGAACAGGGAAGUCCAGAUGCUUCUGAGAGGCUCCCGGCUCCUGAUUCUCUUAUGUGGAAGACGAAGAUAAAGGCUAUCUCUUCAGAGAUACCCCUCAACACCUAACAAGGACAUACUAAGCUUUCCCAAGCACCACAUAUUUUUCCUCGUUUUUUUUUUUAUACCAAGACAGAAGGCCAGCUUCCUUGUCUCCAUUUCAUAUCCUUCAUCCUCUUUUUACUCACUUCCAAAUUGUCUCUGAAUUAGGCCAAAUAGUAAACCUUAGAGGUAUUGAAGGAAAAUAUGAGAGGCAGUUGCAGUCAUGACAACAGAAGGAGCUAGGGGUCACCAGAUUAUAAGAGAGUUUUCAGGGAGGUUCUAAUGAUAAUGUCACUGAGCACUACCGUGAUCUACAUGCUGAACACUUCCUUACAUUGACCAGAUUCAAGAGUGCCCUUACCAGGUAUGUCUCAGGAAACACAGUGGAAACCUGUAUGUACUACAUCACUCUAAAGUAGAGACUUCUCUCUGCUUCUCUAGUCGUUACAUGCUCUGAAUGUAGAAAGUUAGGCAGGGGCUUAGCAUGGGUAGAAACUAUUUAGGAACCUGGAGUGUAGGAAAUAAUUCUAGAUAAUAUUUUUAUUCCCAGGUUCAUUCCUGUGACAUAACGUUCAAUUUUCUGUGUUUUCUUUCUUUCCCAAAUGCCAGCAUUUUCUCUACAACCUUUAAUUGAAUGAAUAUUGUAUUUCAAUUUCUUACUGUAAAUUCCUUGAUAGGGGACUUUGUAAAUGUUCCUUAUUGUGUAAUCAAAAAUUCUGUUUUCCAAUUAAAUUUUCUGCAAUGAUUUUGGUCACAAAGGGGGCCCAGCUAUAGAAUGAGUACAACACUGUAACUACUGUGUACCUAUUUCAAAUGAUGAAUUCCCAAAUUCCAUUUUUUUAUCAAAAAAAUUACCAGACAUUAGGAAAGCAAAGUAUAACAUGGAUUUUUUAUUCGGUUCUCUACUCCCAUUUGAUAUCAGUACUACCCUAUCUAUCUUCCAGUGUUCCCAUGGCCACACUUGAGUGUUUAGGAUGUUUUACCAUGAUUCUUUCUUAAGGCCAAAUGUAAUCUACCAGAUGAUGGGCAGGGGAGAAGAAUGGCUUGAGGACCAGUUAAAUGUCUACUUCAAUAGGUUCAUAAAAACAGGAGGAAGUCUAUUUACAUUGUCAUCUGUGAAUUCUACGUUCUUGACAUAGUUGGGGAGAAUCCUUGUUAACAUUCCGCUUAACAACGUAAGUGUAGAAGCCUCCAAAAUUAUUUAUAUACAUCAGCCACCAAAACUAGAUAAGAUUGAUACAGCUAAUAAGUGCAUUCUUCCAGGAACUGGAUAAAGAUAUUUACUGAGAGACACAGAUACGGCAUGUCAAAUACAGAAGUGAAUGCUAGUAGCAAACCAGUGAACUGAAAACGGACCUCUUGUAGGUAAAUAUUGAAAAAGGUUAGAAGAGCUGAAGGUGAUUUCAACCUCAUAAGAACAACAAUGCCAAUAAACCAGAGCCUUCGGAUACCAGACCAAUAAACAAAGAACGUACAUGGACUGAUCUAUGGCUCCAAAUUUAUAUGUGGCAGAGGAUGGCCUUUUUGGGCAAAAAUGGUGAUGAUGCCCGUGGUCCUCCCUAAUUUGUCUCCCAGUUCAAGGGAAUGUCAAUGGACAGAAAGUCUGGUUAUAGAAGUAAGAAAAGGGAACAUGUAGGGAUCUUAAGGGAAUAAACUGGGUAAGGAAUUAAUAUUUUAAAUGUAAAUAUAGAAAACAUCCAGUUUAAAAAAAGCAAUAAAAUUUUCUAAAAAAUAUGAAUGACAUAAAAGAAAAGCAAGAUGCCAAGUAAUCACAUGUAUUUCCUAGGAAAUUGAAGUGGUAGUCUGAGUAAUACUAGUGGAAAGACUGAGAUGAUCAAGUCUCAACUAGAAGCACUUCUCUCUCCCAAAUAUCAGUGUCAGACACAAAGUGCUCUAUAGAUAUCCAAAGCAUGAGUUUACUUGGAGCUAAGCAUACAGUACUUGUUUUUCCCUUCUUCCUUAGGACCUUUUCUUCUUGACAAAGUAUAAAGGUCAUGACUUAUCAGGAAAACAAAUAUGCCCUUCAAACACUUGGCUUUUGGAAUAAAGAAAUGAAUGAUAUAAACCCACUGUCUUCCAGGAACCAUAAGAACAGAAAAGUGCAGAGUGUAGGAAGUUCUUAUAGACAAUAUUUUUAUUCACAGGUCAUUCCUGUACACUCUAUCUAGUUUUCAGUGUUUCCAUGCCCAGACAUAAGGGUAGGAUGAUUUAUCAUGAUUCUUUCUUAAGUCCAAAAGUAAGAUACUGGACUAGGGACAGGGAGAAAAAUGUCUUGAGGACCAGUUAAACAUCUUCUUUAAUAAGUUAAUAAAAACAGGAGAGAGUCUAUUUGAAAUUGUCAUUUGUGAAUUUUACACUAUUGACAUAUUUGGCCAGAAUCCAUGAUAAUUUUCCACUUAAACACUUAGGUGUAGGAGCCACCAAAAGUAUAUAUGUAUACAUCAGCCAACAAAACUAGGUAAGAUUGAUGAAGGUAAGAAGUGCUUUCUGCCAGGCACCAGAUAUAGAUAUUUACUGAGAGACACAGAUACAGCAUGUCAAAUACAGAAGUGAAUGGUGGUAGUAAACCAGUGCACUGAAAACGGACCUAUUGUUGCUAAAUCUUGAAAAAGGAUUAGAAGAGCUGAGGGUGCUUUCAACACCAUAAGAACAACUAUAUCAAUGAUACAGAGCUUUAUUGUACUAGAAUAAUAUAAAAAGAAAAUACAUGUACUGACCUAUGGCUCCAAAUGAAUAAGUGGCUAAGGAUGUCAUUUUGGGCAACAUUGAAAAGAGAGGCACUUGUCCUUCCUAGUUUGUCUUCCAGUUCAAGGGAAUGUCACGAGUCCGAAAGGCUGUUUAGAGAAGAAGGAAAUGGAAUGCGUAGGGAACUUUUAAUCAGGAAACUGGAAAUGGAAAUAAUAUUUUAAAUGUUUAUAUCUAGUUAAAAAUCUAGUUAAAAGGAAUUAAUUUUGCUAAAAUAUAAAAAAAUGAAUGAUAUAAAAGAAAAUAAAUGUGCAAAGUCAUAACAAUUAUUGGCUCAGAAAUUUAAAGUCAUAGUCAUAGUAAUACUAGUGGAAAGACUGAGAUGAUGAAUUCUCAACUAGAAGAACAUUCUCUCCCAAAUAUCAGUGUCAGACACAAACUGCACUAUAGGUAUCCAAAGCACAGAGGAGAUGAUUACCUUGAGUUAGGGACAGAAUACUUGUUUUUCCCUUCUCCUUAGUACCUUUUCUUCUUGACAAAAAGAGUAAAGGUCCUUAGCUCUCAUUAAAACAACUGUGCCUUUCACAACACUUGGUUUUUGGAAUAAAGAAAUGAAUGAUAUAAUCCCUCAGGAACCAUAAGAACAGGAAAGUCCUGUUGUUUCUGAGAGUCUCCAAGCUCAUGAUUCCCUUAUUUAUAAGGCUCAGAUUAAGGCUAUCUUUUCAGCGAUAUCACUCAAGCCCUACAAAGGACUCACUGAACUUUCCAAAGGACCACAUUUUUCUUCCUUAUUUUUUAUACCAAGACAGAAGGCCCGCUUCCUUCUCCCCAUUUCCAAACACUUCUUCCUCUUUGUUACCACACCACAAUUUGCUCUGAAUUAGAGAAUAUUAGUAAAACCUAUUGGUGAAGGAAUAACUGAGAGGCAGUUGCAGUCACGACAAUAGUUGUGACAUCACAGAAGCUAGGACGCUCAAGGUUACAAGAGAGUUUUCAGGGAGGUCCUAAUGAUUAUGGCACUGAGAACUGCUGUGGACUACCUGCUGAACACCUUUCCUUACAUUGACCAGAUUCGAAUUUUCACUUUCCAAGUAUGUCUCCCGUUACACAGUUGAAACCUAUACAUAACACAUCUCUCUAAAGCUAGAGACUUCUCUCUGCUUCACAAGUGGUUACAUGCUCUGAAUGGAGAAAAUUAGACAGGGUAGAAAAGAUUUAGGAACAUGGAGUGUAGGAGAUAAUUCUAGAUAAUAUUUUUUUUGGUUCUUUUUUUUGGAGCUGGGGAUCGAACCCAGGGCCUUGCGCUUCCUAGGUAAGCGCUCUACCACUGAGCUAAAUCCUCAGCCCCUCUAGAUAAUAUUUUUAUUCCCAGUUUCAUUCCGUUGAUAUAAAGUUCAAUUUUCUGUGUUUUCUCUGUUUCCCAAAGGCCAGUAUUUUCCCUACAGACCUUUAAUUUAAUGAAUAUUGUAUUUCAAUUCCUUAUGGUUAAUUCCUUGAUAGGGGGUUUUGUAAAUUUUCCUCAAUGUGUACUCAAUAAUUCUGUUUUCUAAUUCCAUUUUCUGCAAUGAUUUUUGUCACAAAGUGGGCCCAGCUAUAUAGUGAGUAUAACAGCAUAAAUACUGUAAAACUACUUCAAAUGAUAAACUCACAAAUACUUAUUUUAACAAAAAAAUUACCAGACAUCAGGAAAUCAAAAACAACAUGGACUAUUGUAUUUGGUUAUCUAAUCCCAUUUGAUAUCAGUACUACACUAUCUAGCUUCCAGUUUUCCCAUAGCCAGAACUGAGGGUUUAGGAUGUUUUACCAAGAUUCUUUCUUAAAACCAAAUGUAAGAUACCAGAUAAUGGGCAGGAAGAAGAAUGGCUUGAGGACCAGUUAUACGUCUACUUCAAUAGGUUCAUAAAAACAGGACGGAAUCUAUUUGCAUUGUCAUUCCUUAAUUCUACAUUCUUCACAUAGUUCAGCAAAAUCCAUGUAAACAUUCCACUUGACAAAAUAGGUGUAAGAGCCACCAAAAUUAUAUUUGUACUCAUCAGCCAACCAAACUAGAUAAGAUUGAUGAAGGUAAGAAGUUCAUUCUGCAAGGAACCAGGUAUAAAUAUUUACUGAGAGAUACAGAUACAGCCUGUCAAAUACAAAAGUGAAUGCUGGGACAUACCAGUUAACUGAAAACAGACCUCUUGUUGGUAAAUUUUGAAAAAGGAUUCAAAGAGCUGAAGGUGCUUUCAACCCGAGAAGAAUAACAAUGCCCGUGACCAGCGCUUUCUUAUAAUAGACAGAUUUACAAAGAAAGUACAUGGACUAACCUAUGGCUCCAAAUGCAUAUGUGGCAGAAAAUGGCCUUUUUGGGCAACAUUGGAAAGAGAAGCUCUUGUAUUCCCUACUUUGUCUCCCAGUUCAAGGGAAUGCAUUGCGGCAGAAAGGCUGGUUUGAAAAGAAGGAAAUGGAACGGGUAGGAACCUUAUGGGCAGGAAACUGGGAAAGGAAAUAAUAUUUUAAAAGUAAAUAUAGAAACAUCCAGUUAUAAAACAAUAAAUUUUGGUAAAAAAUAAAAAAAGAAUGAUAUGAAAGAAAGAAAGCUGCCAAGUAAAAAGACAUCUUGACACAGAAAUCUGAAGUGUUAUUCAGAGUAAUACUAGUGGAAAGACUGAGAUGAUGAAGUCUCAACUACAAAUACUUCUCUACCCCAGAUAUCAGUGUGAGAGACAAACUGUACUAUAGGUAUCCAAAGUGUGGAGGAGUUUAUUCAGAACUAGGGAUACAAUACUUGUUUUUCCCUUCUUCCUUAGGACCUUUUCUUCUUGAAAAAAAGAGUAAGGGUCAUGAGUUCUCAGGAAAACAACUGUGCCCUUCACAACACUUGGCUUUUGGUAUAAAGAAAUUAAUGAUAUAAACUCUCUUAUUUCAAGGAACCAUAAGAACAGAGAAGUCCAGAUAAGAACAGAGACGUGCAAAUGCUUCUGAGAGUCUCCCAGCUCCUGAUUCCCUUAUGUGGAAGACUCAGAUCAAUGCUAUCUCUUCAGCGAUAUCACUCAAACCCUACAAAGGACUCACUGAACUUUCCAAAGGACCACAUAUUUCUUCCUUGUUUUUUAUACCAGGAAAGAAGAUCAGCUUUUUUCUCCCUAUUUCUAUUCUCUUCAUCGUCUUUGUUAUCACUCCCAAAUGUGCUCUGAAGUAGAGGCCUAUUAGUAAACCCUAGAAGUACUGAAAGAAUAUCUCAGAGGAAGUUGCAGUCACAACAACACUUGUGACAUCACAGAAGAAUCUAGUGCUCUCCAGGUUAGAAGAGAGUUUUCAGGGAAUGCCUGACAAUGAUGUCACUGAAAACUGUCAUGGCCUACCUGAUGAACACCUUUCCUUACAUUGACCAGAUUCAAGUUUGCACUUUAUAGGACCUUUUCUUCUUGCGAAAAAGUGUAAAGGUCAUGAGUUCUCAGGAAAACAACUGUGCCCUUCACAACACUUGGCUUUUGGAAUAAAGAAAUAAAUGAUAUAAA